rnacentral:rRNA from 1 species
GAUGAACGCUGGCGGCGUGCCUAAUACAUGCAAGUCGAGCGAACGGACGAGAAGCUUGCUCCUCUGAUGUUAGCGGCGGACGGGUGAGUAACACGUGGAUAACCUACCUAUAAGACUGGGAUAACUUCGGGAAACCGGAGCUAAUACCGGAUAAUAUUUUGAACCGCAUGGUUCAAAAGUGAAAGACGGUCUUGCUGUCACUUAUAGAUGGAUCCGCGCUGCAUUAGCUAGUUGGUAAGGUAACGGCUUACCAAGGCAACGAUGCGUAGCCGACCUGAGAGGGUGAUCGGCCACACUGGAACUGAGACACGGUCCAGACUCCUACGGGAGGCAGCAGUAGGGAAUCUUCCGCAAUGGGCGAAAGCCUGACGGAGCAACGCCGCGUGAGUGAUGAAGGUCUUCGGAUCGUAAAACUCUGUUAUUAGGGAAGAACAUAUGUGUAAGUAACUGUGCACAUCUUGACGGUACCUAAUCAGAAAGCCACGGCUAACUACGUG